UAUUCUUCUUCUUCUUCUUCUUCGGUAAUCCAUCCGCCGCAUCUUCACCUCCACCGCUCUCGAUCGCCACCGUGACUUCCGGUUUCUCCUUCUCAACGAAUCGUGCUUCUCCGCCGUCUAUAGAUUCCUUUUUUCUCCCAAAAUGCUUCCGAUUACUUCGAUUCAUACGCUUCUCCUCCUCCGCUUUCUUCAGAUCUUCUUCCUCUAUCUUUUUCUCUUCCUCAGCCUGUAGUUUCCGUCGUCUCUCUUCUUCUUCCUUUCGCUUCUUCUCUUUCUCAUUGAGCCAACGCUCCUGGAGCUGAAGGAUGCUGAUGUAGUUAGCCGGAAUCAGAGGAACAGUCUUUCUUUUGCCGUAUGUGUUCUUCUCCUCCAUUGAAAUCAUUUCCUUCACACGCUUCACAAACAAACCUCGUCGAAGCUGAAAUAGUGAAAAGCGUACUGUAG